UACAGAGGGGGCAAGCGUUGUUCGGAAUUAUUGGGCGUAAAGAGCUCGUAGGCGGUUUGUCACGUCUGCUGUGAAAACUGGAGGCUCAACCUCCAGCCUGCAGUGGGUACGGGCAGACUAGAGUGCGGUAGGGGAGAUUGGAAUUCCUGGUGUAGCGGUGGAAUGCGCAGAUAUCAGGAGGAACACCGAUGGCGAAGGCAGAUCUCUGGGCCGUAACUGACGCUGAGGAGCGAAAGCAUGGGGAGCGAACAGG
rnacentral:rRNA from 1 species